CUCUCUCUCUCUGGCACCUACUCUUCAGAUGGCCAACAACACUUUGCCAGCAACGGCUGCUGUCCAGUUAAGAGCAAGAGAUUGGAGAAAAACUAUCAAAAAUAAGUGUCAGGUUUGAUUACCCACCCCUUAACAAAGAAGUCAUACAGGGUGUAUGAAAUCUAUGGGAAGAUCCAUCCAUCUAGGUGAAAAGAAGUUCAUAUUUCUGUAAAUGUGUAUACUGUCAAGCAACCAGUUUUAUUAUAAAGAAAUGCAUCUGUAAGAAACUUACUUGUGUGGAAGUGUGUUGCAAGUUCAUCCCCAUCCCCCGUCGGACCCAAUGUUGUAAGUUAGAAUAGUGGGUCUGCGGUUCUUGUUGCUGUUCUGCCGGCCCGCCGCCUCGUGUGCUGCCUUUCUUCCUGCCAAGGUUCUGCCUUCCUUCUCUGACUUUCCAUUGUUUUGCUCAUUUCAUAUACACCAUUUUACUCGCUCUACCUGUGUGUUCUGUGCGUCGUGUUCUGUUUACAUUAUUAUUUUCUUCUCAUGCUUGCUCUCCUUCAAGCUUAUUUUGUGCCAGGAUUCUGGAAACGACCAAGGACAAGCAACUCAAGCGAAAGAUUGCUUCACUUAAUCUGGCGCUGUUAUUCUUCUGAAACAUGCUAAAGAAAGAUGAGAAGGAUCGGCAAAAAAGUUUGAGCCUCCUCUUAGAAGGUUCAAAACGGGACGCGGGCAAGAUAGCUCUA